ACGGGAGGCAGCAGUGGGGAAUAUUGCACAGUGGGCGCAAGCCUGAUGCAGCAACGCCGCGUGAGGGAAGACGGUUUUCGGAUUGUAAACCUCUGUCUUCGGUGACGAACAAUGACGGUAGCCGAGGAGGAAGCCACGGCUAACUACGUGCCAGCAGCCGCGGUAAUACGUAGGUGGCAAGCGUUAUCCGGAUUUACUGGGUGUAAAGGGCGCGUAGGCGGGGAUGCAAGUCAGGUGUGAAAUCUAUGGGCUUAACUCAUAAACUGCACUUGAAACUGUAUCUCUUGAGUGCUGGAGAGGUAGAUGGAAUUCCUUGUGUAGCGGUGAAAUGCGUAGAUAUAAGGAAGAACACCAGUGGCGAAGGCGAUCUACUGGACAGUAACUGACGCUGAGGCGCGAAAGCGUAGGGAGCAAACAGGAUUAGAUACCCUGGUA
rnacentral:rRNA from 1 species